CCAUCUCGUUGCUGCUAAAAGGACCAUUUCUUAUAUAGCGCCGGCGCAAAAAGAAGAAAGAAAAAUUCUUACCUGCUUGUCUCGUUUGUCUAAGUUUGACGUCUUUUCCACGUAAUUGAACUUGAUGAAUGUUGGCGUUUGUUUAUCUCUCUAACGCGCACUGUCCUUUCAACACCCCUCCGGAUGACAUAUCUGGGCCGGUUCGGUUAUUUUCAGAACAAUACAGCACCUGUCUAUCUCCAGGGGUUUUGUGAUUAGAGCUUGGAUUGUCAAUUACAACAAGUCAAACCGCAACUCUCGGUUUUCUUUGUCCGGAAAAAGAGUGCUAGUUUUACCAGCUAGCCAGGCUAUGCUAGUCGAUGGAAAAUAGUAAGCACAUUUAUAUGGUUUUGGAAUGACCUGUUCAGGAGAAAAAAUGCAGUUUCAGUUCCUUUGGAUGACAAUUGAAGGAAACUGAGCAUGUUUGACCACGAUAAAAAGGCAUGUUUUAAAAAUGUUAAAAUACAAGCUGUCGUCAAACCAUCCAUGCAUCCCACGUUUCUUCCAACUGUUAAGCCUAAGUGAGAUCGCUUAGGUUAUGUACAUCGCUACUGAGACAUCGUGUUCUUGGACAACUGGUAUGAUCUACCCAGGCAGAUGCGAGGAUGCGCACCACCAGGUCCAUUCCAUGCACACAUGCAUCAUCUUGGCAUUCUGGCUGGCAGGAAUUGAUCCUGAACGACAACCAACAAGGGGCGACAUAAGAGACGGCACACAGGGAGAGCUGAGGAAAAACGCAGUCCGGAUGUUAUUUUAAAA